rnacentral:rRNA from 1 species
UACGGAGGGUGCAAGCGUUGCUCGGAAUUACUGGGCGUAAAGCGAACGCAGGCGGUUCACUAAGUCGGGCGUGAAAGCCCCGGGCUCAACCUGGGAAUUGCACUCGAUACUGGUGGACUUGAGUCUGAGAGAGGGAAGCGGAAUUCCUGGUGUAGAGGUGAAAUUCGUUGAUAUCAGGAGGAACACCGAUGGCGAAGGCAGCUCACUGGGACGGUACUGACGCUGAGACGCGAAAGCGUGGGGAGCAAACAGG